rnacentral:tRNA from 1 species
GCCCCUAUAGCUCAGCUGGUAGAGCAUCGGACUCUUAAUCCGCAGGUCGUAGGUUCGAUCCCUACUGGGGGCACAA